rnacentral:rRNA from 1 species
ACUCAAAGGAAUAGACGGGGACCCGCACAAGCGGUGGAACAUGUGGUUUAAUUCGAUGCUACGCGAAAAACCUUACCUACCCUUGAAAUCCCAGGAAUCUUUUAGAGAUAGAAGAGUGCCUUCGGGAACCUGGAGACAGGUGCUGCAUGGCUGUCGUCAGCUCGUGUCGUGAGAUGUUGGGUUGAGUCCCGUAACGAGCGCAACCCUUAUCUUUAGUUGCCAACAGUUCGGCUGGGAACUCUAAAGAAACUGCCGGCGUUAAGCUGGAGGAAGGAGAGGACGAGGUCAAGUCAUCAUGGCCCUUAUGGGUGGGGCAACACACGUGUUACAAUGGUAAGCACAGAGGGUUGCCAAGUCGCGAGACGGAGCUAAUCUCAGAAAACUUAUCGUAGUCCGGAUUGAAGUCUGCAACUCGACUUCAUGAAGUUGGAAUCGCUAGUAAUCGCGAAUCAGAAUGUCGCGGUGAAUACGUUCUCGGGUCUUGUACACACCGCCCGU